UGUCAACUGGUGAGGGCCGACGAGUGACUUGUUAACUGUGUUUUUGAUAGAGCCGAUUAUUCUUUCAACUGCUCCGAUGCCGGCAUGAUGUUUGGGAAGAGUAGUUCUAAAUUCAAUGGAGGUGAACUUCAGGUUGAGGCUGGAGACGACCUUCAUCUCAGUGUUGACCAGGUCUUUACCAGCCUUAACAAUGUUGAGACCAGCAUCAAUCUUAUAUUUAGUGUUCUAAGCCAGCUCUCCCAUAUCUAGUGUACUAAACCAGCUCUUCUAUAUCUAUUGUUCUAAACCAGCUCUUUUAUGUUUAGUGUACUAAACCAGCUCUCCAAUAUCUAGUGUACUAAACCAGCUCUCCUAUAUCUAGUGUACUAAGCCAGUUUUCCUAUAUUUAGUGUAUGUACUAAGCUAGGUCUCCUAUAUUUAGUGCAUGUACUAAGCUAACUCUCCUAUAUUUAGUGUACUAAGCUAGCUCUCCUAUAUUUAGUGUUCUAAGCCAGUUUUCCUAUAUUUAGUGUAUGUACUAAGCUAGCUCUCCUAUAUUUAGUGCAUGUACUAAACAUACUCCUAUAUUUAGUGUACUAAGCUAACUCUCCUAUAUUUAGUGUACUAAGCAAGCUCUCCUAUUCUGACUGGUUACUGCUCUACUACCUAGCCCAGUGUAUGAACAAGGGAAACUUCUCUAAGCUUCUUCAUCUAAUGGGUGACAACCUAAGUCACAUGGUUGAUAGUAAGAUGGAUGAGGUUGAUAGUUCAAGCAUCGAUAAAACAAAUUUUGACAGAGAUGCCACCCUCAAGAGUCCAAGCAAAUUGCGUAACUUCCUAAAAUAUACCUAAAAAUUGUGUAACUUCCUAAAAA